AGAGUUUGAUCCUGGCUCAGAACGAACGCUGGCGGCAGGCUUAACACAUGCAAGUCGAACGCGUGUAGCAAUACACGAGUGGCGCACGGGUGAGUAACGCGUGGAUAUCUGCCUUUUGGUUCGGAAUAACUCCGGGAAACUGGAGCUAAUACCGGAUGGUUCCUACGGGAUAAAGAUUUAUCGCCAAAAGAUGAGUCCGCGCACGAUUAGCUAGUUGGUGAGGUAAUGGCUCACCAAGGCGACGAUCGUUAGCUGGUCUGAGAGGACGAUCAGCCACACUGGGACUGAGACACGGCCCAGACUCCUACGGGAGGCAGCAGAAGGGCGAAUU
rnacentral:rRNA from 1 species